rnacentral:lncRNA from 1 species
CAGGAGCUACAGCGGCGGCAGCAGUAGCAGCUGCCUCGGCGGCGUUCUCCUCAUUCCACCUCUCCAGGCCUUCCCUCGCUCGCAGACACUUCCGCACUAUACCGGUACGCUCCUCAAUUUCACCUCCUUCCACCACCAGCGCCGAAUUCAACAUCUCCUUCGCCCCCAAAUCGAAAAACCCUAAACCUCAAUCUGAAACCCUCCUCAUUCCAUGGAUCGUCCGCGAUGAGAACGGCAAUCUCAGGGUUCAGUCCACGCCCCCGGAGCGAUAUCUGCAAGACA